AGGAGCCGCUGGAGGGAGAACUGUCUCAGAGCAGCACGGCUAAAGAGACGGGUGAAGUCGUGGAUUAUUCACUCAGGGGCCGUUUUGAGGGUCCCAGUCUGAGCAGUUUGGAAACCUCUGGUUCACAGCUCCUCAUCUCCAGCGGUGGGAACUCUUUAUUACAUUACUUUAUGUUUUCUCUGUCCAAUCCAUAUGAAACAUCCAUCAUAAAGUUUUC
rnacentral:lncRNA from 1 species